rnacentral:rRNA from 1 species
AUGAACGCUGGCGGCGUGCCUAAUACAUGCAAGUCGAGCGAACGGACGAGAAGCUUGCUUCUCUGAUGUUAGCGGCGGACGGGUGAGUAACACGUGGAUAACCUACCUAUAAGACUGGGAUAACUUCGGGAAACCGGAGCUAAUACCGGAUAAUAUUUUGAACCGCAUGGUUCAAAAGUGAAAGACGGUCUUGCUGUCACUUAUAGAUGGAUCCGCGCUGCAUUAGCUAGUUGGUAAGGUAACGGCUUACCAAGGCAACGAUGCAUAGCCGACCUGAGAGGGUGAUCGGCCACACUGGAACUGAGACACGGUCCAGACUCCUACGGGAGGCAGCAGUAGGGAAUCUUCCGCAAUGGGCGAAAGCCUGACGGAUCAACGCCGCGUGAGUGAUGAAGGUCUUCGGAUCGUAAAACUCUGUUAUUAGGGAAGAACAUAUGUGUAAGUAACUGUGCACAUCUUGACGGUACCUAAUCAGAAAGCCACGGCUAACUACGUG